UACGUAGGUGACAAGCGUUGUCCGGAUUUACUGGGCGUAAAGAGCGCGCAGGCGGUCGUUCAAGUCGAGUGUGAAAGCCCCCGGCUCAACUGGGGAGGGUCACUCGAUACUGAUCGACUCGAAGGCAGGAGAGGGAAGUGGAAUUCCCGGUGUAGUGGUGAAAUGCGUAGAUAUCGGGAGGAACACCAGUGGCGAAGGCGGCAUCCUGGACCAAUACUGACGCUGAGGAGCGAAAGCCAGGGGAGCAAACGGG
rnacentral:rRNA from 1 species